AAUGGGCGCAAGCCUGAACCAGCCAUCCCGCGUGCAGGAUGACGGCCCUACGGGUUGUAAACUGCUUUUAUACACCAAGAAAAAUCCCCACGAGUGGGGACCCGACGGUAGUGUAUGAAUAAGCAUCGGCUAACUCCGUGCCAGCAGCCGCGGUAAUACGGAGGAUGCAAGCGUUAUCCGGAUUCAUUGGGUUUAAAGGGUGCGUAGGCGGCUUUUUAAGUCAGUGGUGAAAUCCUGCCGCUUAACGGUAGAAUUGCCAUUGAUACUGAGAAGCUUGAGUUCAGUUGAGGUAAGCGGAAUGUGUAGUGUAGCGGUGAAAUGCUUAGAUAUUACACAGAACACCGAUUGCGAAGGCAGCUUACUAAACUGACACUGACGCUGAUGCACGAAAGCGUGGGGAUCGAA
rnacentral:rRNA from 1 species